rnacentral:rRNA from 1 species
CACGUAGGAGGCGAGCGUUGUUCGGAAUUACUGGGCGUAAAGCGUAUGCAGGCGGACUUUUAAGUCGGGGGUGAAAUCCCGAGGCUCAACCUCGGAACUGCCUUCGAUACUGGAAGUCUUGAGUCCGGGAGAGGUGAGUGGAACUCCGAGUGUAGAGGUGAAAUUCGUAGAUAUUCGGAAGAACACCAGUGGCGAAGGCGGCUCACUGGCCCGGUACUGACGCUGAGAUACGAAAGCGUGGGGAGCAAACAGG